rnacentral:lncRNA from 1 species
CGAAUCCGCGGAUAUUCGUGUUACCACCCACCAGGUACACUGCUGGUUUCGUCUUUCAUCUGUUUUCACAUUCCCAGGCCCCUCGACCAGGUGGCGUAUCUCCUGAACGGCAAGAUAUCUCUUCGAUCCAACCAAGCCGCCUCCUGGACUUCAAACAAUUACUGGAAGGCCGAUACAGACAAGUGGGUCGCACCUAGAGGUGACACUCCCGACUACGCUGAAUGCCAGUUCGAUCCAGUCCGAGUGAACAGCACCACACUCGCUCUCAAGGGUCCCAAUGGC